rnacentral:lncRNA from 1 species
GAGAAAGAGAGAUGGGAAAAGGGUGAGAAGGGAAAAUAUUAGGGUUGGCAAUGGAGCGGACCCGACUUGGGACCCAGUGGUAAUAUCCGACUUGGGUCCGAGUAUGGGUCCAAGUUUUGGACCCACGGUAGGGUCUCGGACAACAUAUCAUACCUGAUGUUCUCGGAUCCAGGUACAGGUCCUGCCAUACCCGAUCCAUAGUUUUAUUAAUACAUUAACAACCAAAGCCCCAACCCCUUAUCCCUAAAAUUAUUUAGAUCAUUUUCAUUUUUCAUCUACGGCCAAACCCCAAAUCCUAGCCUCCCUCUCUGCAACUCUCCCGCUUUGCAACCCCAUUGCCAAGCCAACCAAACCCUGGCCUCCCUCUCUGCAGCUCUCCCCUUCUCGGAGUCUUAGUUUCUCCCUCUCUCGGUCUUAGCCUCAGCUUCUGAGCUGCAACUCUCGGAGGCUCGAUCCUAGCCUUUCCUCUACAACACUCGCCGGAUGUGCAGGUCUUGGCCGGAAAAACAAAGAGAAAUAUCCAGUUUUUGUCAAAGUUGGUUUUUUUCUCUAACUCGGGGAUUGGUUUCUCUCUUUAGCUCAGUGGUUUUGAGAGCUUUCUUGAUUUAGGUUUCUCAGUAUUUUAAACCUUAGUUUCUCUCUCUAGAUAUUUUGAGAGUUUUUUUUUUUUUUGUUGUUUGUUGAUAGGUUUUGUGAGGAAGAAUGAAGCCACGGGUGGUCGUAGGCCACGUGACAUAUGAUUUGAAGGAGAUUGCCUUCCUUUCUUUUUUCCCUGAUCCUCCUUGUAUAAAAAAGAGAAGGAUAUUUU